AUUGAACGCUGGCGGCAGGCCUAACACAUGCAAGUCGAGCGGAUGAAGGGAGCUGGCUCCUGGAUUCAGCGGCGGACGGGUGAGUAAUGCCUAGGAAUCUGCCUGGUAGUGGGGGAUAACGUCCGGUAACGGGCGCUAAUACCGCAUACGCCCUGAGGGUGAAAGUGGGGGAUCUUCGGACCUCACGCUAUCAGAUGAGCCUAGGUCGGAUUAGCUAGUUGGAGGGGUAAAGGCCUACCAAGGCGACGAUCCGUAACUGGUCUGAGAGGAUGAUCAGUCACACUGGAACUGAGACACGGUCCAGACUCCUACGGGAGGCAGCAGUGGGGAAUAUUGGACAAUGGGCGAAAGCCUGAUCCAGCCAUGCCGCGUGUGUGAAGAAGGUCUUCGGAUUGUAAAGCACUUUAAGUUGGGAGGAAGGGCAGUAAGUUAAUACCUUGCUGUUUUGACGGUACCGAAAGAAUAAGCACCGGCUAACUUCGUG
rnacentral:rRNA from 1 species